UACGUAGGGACCAAGCGUUGUUCGGAUUUACUGGGCGUAAGGGGCGCGUAGGCGGCGCGGUAAGUCACUUGUGAAAUCUCUGAGCUUAACUCAGAACGGCCAAGUGAUACUGCAGUGCUAGAGUGUGGAAGGGGCAAUCGGAAUUCUUGGUGUAGCGGUGAAAUGCGUAGAUAUCAAGAGGAACACCUGAGGUGAAGACGGGUUGCUGGGCCAACACUGACGCUGAUGCGCGAAAGCCAGGGGAGCAAACAGG
rnacentral:rRNA from 1 species